rnacentral:rRNA from 1 species
UACGUAGGUGGCGAGCGUUGUCCGGAAUUACUGGGUGUAAAGGGCGUGUAGGCGGGAAUGGAAGUCAGAUGUGAAAUUCCAGGGCUCAACCCUGGCGCUGCAUCUGAAACUAUGUUUCUUGAGUGCUGGAGAGGAAAGCGGAAUUCCUAGUGUAGCGGUGAAAUGCGUAGAUAUUAGGAGGAACACCAGUGGCGAAGGCGGCUUUCUGGACAGUAACUGACGCUGAGGCGCGAAAGCGUGGGGAGCAAACAGG